rnacentral:lncRNA from 1 species
GGGGGCUCCUUCACGGCACCGCCGGGCUCUCAGGCAGCUGGGGCGAGGAGCCCGCGGUGAGCACUGCCCCGGUGCCUUCAGCAGCGCUGAGCUAAUGUCUGGCUGGGCAUCGUGCCUGCACCCUCCUAUGUACGAGACACAAUUUCCACAUCAAUGCAAUGGAAGCUGUUGAGGAGGAACCACCUCGGUUUGAUCUUUGUAAAUUGCUGGUCUUCAGCCUCCAUAGACAGUUCUGGCAGUGCACUUGAACAAGGCUGCAAAGAUAACUAAUGAAGAUUGAUGACAGAUGCUCAAUCUUAUCUCUAGGAAGGAACUCUGAAAUCCAAACUCAGAUUAUUCUGCAGUCCCCUACAUCUAUCCAAUUUGCUUACCAAUUGGUGAGUGUUCUGUGGGUUGUAUCUCAUUGUAAAUACUUUGGAUUCUGUAUUAUGGUUGUUACAAUUUAUAUUCACAUCAUUUCAGCACUAACGUUGUUGCGAGUGAAUGUGCCUUGAAAUGUUUGGCGCCUACUGAACCUGACCUAAUUCCUGUGAUACAAAUAAAACCUCAUCAUGUUCCUCA